rnacentral:rRNA from 1 species
GUGUCAGCAGCCGCGGUAAUACGUAGGUGACGAGCGUUAUCCGGAAUUACUGGGCGUAAAGCGCACGCAAGCGGUUGGACAAGUCUGGCGUGAAAUCCUCUGGCUUAACCAGGGGCGGUCGCUGGAGACUGUUCGGCUUGAGGCGAUGAGAGGGGUGCAGAAUUCCCGGUGUAGUGGUGGAAUGCGUAGAGAUCGGGAGGAAUACCAGUGGCGAAAGCGGCACCCUGGCGUCGUACUGACGCACAUGUGCGAAAGCGUGGGGAGCGAACGGGAUUAGAAACCCUCGUAGUCC